rnacentral:rRNA from 1 species
UACGUAGGGGGCAAGCGUUGUCCGGAUUUAUUGGGCGUAAAGAGCGUGUAGGCGGCCAAGCAGGUCCGCUGUGAAAACUCGAGGCUCAACCUCGAGACGUCGGUGGAAACCGUUUGGCUAGAGUCCGGAAGAGGAGAGUGGAAUUCCCGGUGUAGCGGUGAAAUGCGCAGAUAUCGGGAAGAACACCCGUGGCGAAGGCGGCUCUCUGGGACGGUACUGACGCUGAGACGCGAAAGCGUGGGGAGCCGAACAGG